AGGUAGGAACUCGGAUGGCGUGGUGCCAGGUAAACAACCUCUCCCUCAACGUUAGAAAAACAAAGAUGAUUGUGGACUUCGGGAGGAACCAGGCUGGACACGCCCCCAUCCUUAUCAACGGGGAUGCCGUGGGGACGGUCAAUAUAUUCAAAUUCCUCUGCUGAAAUGGUAUAACUACACAGACACCAUGGUGAAGAAGGCACGAUAGUGGCUACGUUACCUUUUUUUAAAUUACCAUUUUCAUUACUUUAUUUCACUUAAGUCGUGCAUGUUGUAGCUCAGAGCCUAAGAUUUUCACUGUACCCUUUAAUCACACCUGAAACCCUGUACAUGUGCCCUUCUUUGCGAGGCAUUGGAAAAUGUCCCUGGUCUUUGCGGUUGAAUCUGUGUUUGAAAUUCACUGCUCGACUGCUUGACCUUUUCAUUAAAUUGAGUUUGCAGCCUGAUAGGAGGAUGAAGACAAGUGAAUUGCCGACUGGGCUGAUUGCGUAGACACCAAUGAUUACGGCUUUAUGCUGGGCGGAUUUGAUUAUGCUGAGCAGCGGGCCACCAGGCAUGAUGUAACAUCAUUGGGCGAAAGCAGGGAGGGAUGCACGCCCUUCUCAAAUCGAACAGUAAUCUGCACCACUCGGUCAUAUUGUCAACAAGGCAGCAUGAUGCAUCGUCCAGAAACAUACAUCUAUUUUUCGUUAAAUAAACGUUAGAAUUGUCUAAUUAGUUUUCAUUUGGAAGGGCAGAUAAAGCGUUUUUAUCAAAAGCAAUCCCUUUUGAAUGGGAAACAAUCCUAGUGAUUACUACACUUGCUUAAUUGCGUCACUUUUGUUUUGAGCAGACUUCGCCGUGGGCUUUGAACGGGGCAGCUGGCUCACGACCGGGAGGCGGCCCAGUUCAACAUCGAAUGCAAUCAACUUUCAGCCAAUGCAAAACAAGUCUCCACGGGCGCCCGGGCGGGAUUAAUCAAACCACCUCAUGGAGAUACGUCACAGUGUUUGUGACGCUUGUCGUUUGGUGAGACGUAGACCCAGUGGCAAUGGCGAGAUUGGAAAUACCCUGUCUGUCUCGUUGAGUUUUGACAGUUUCUUCCUGAUAAAGUCAGGUCAGGCAAGGAAGAAAGAGUCCCAAAUUGGCGUUUUUCCGCUAUUUUGCCCCCCAAGCAAGGAGUGUUUGUAUGGAGGUCAAUGAGAGGGUGGCGAAUUUGGUCAACAACAAAAAAUGAAUAACUUAUUUGCUACGUGAGGUUUGUUUUUAUCGAAUAGAAGUUUCGUUAUGCUUAAAUUGUUAGGAGCUUACUGAUAUAAGUAGGACAUGUGACAUCCCAGCAACUUUGAGAAAAAACACUUUAUAUCGGAGUUGUCUCGAGAUGGUUAUGCAUAUUCAUUGCAUGAGGUUAGUAGUAUAGUAUCUCUAUCCAUUGAAUACAGGCAGUUGAUGUCAAUAUUUUAAAAAGGAUUACAAUAAUGAGAUGUAUCCUCCAAUCCAAAGAAAGGAUAGGUGGGAGCUAUAGGUGGGAGCCCACUGUGCGGCUUUGUGGACAACUACUCCCAUUGUUAGGGCGGAGAGACAUGUAAUCUUGUCAGUAUAUCCAUAAUCUUUGGGUUAAGUUUUAUUUGCUAUUCUGUGAGAGCCUGUGCACCUGAAAAAGAUAUCGGAUUGGAAUUUGUCGUAUGUGGAUCUGCAAAGCAGGAUGCCUAUCAAGGGGGUUAUUUAUCUCUGGAGUGGAGCUAGAAGUGAGUGCAGAGGAUACAACUGAAGAAGUAGAGGCAGUGUGUAACAGGAUAACUUUAGACGGUCCCCUCGCCCAUACCCGGGCGCGAACCAGGGACCUUCUGAACACAUCAACAACAGUCACCCACGAAGCAUCG